ensembl:lincRNA
ACUGGCCUUUCUUCCUGACACCCUGUCCUGUCAGCUGCGGGAGUCCGAGGUGGCUGAGAUUCACUGGCCCUGUGACCCCUGAGCCAAGGAGUUUCUUAAGAGAUUGUAGGAGCCCUGGACUCAGACAAGCCUGAAGGAGACUUACUGGACCACCUCCAGACUUGAAGCAUGUCACAACUCUACUCCCUGAUGAGAGAGCAGCGCUGUCUUUACAUUCCUGACUGGCAGGAGAGGAAACUUCCGUGUCCUGUAGGAGGGUGUACUCUCCGGAGCCAAUUGGGGCUGUGUAUUUCAACUUGAAAAAGACUGAUCGCCUGGCUGUGAUGUGUCCAUUCUGAGAACCAUAUAAAUGGAUUUACAGAUAUGUCCACUCUGGCUCACCAUAUCACAUGUGACUACAGAUGUGUUCAGUCAGGCUCACAGUCUCCCUUGGAUUAACGAUGUAUCCACUAUGCUCACCAAAUAAAUGGGUUUACAAAUGUG